rnacentral:rRNA from 1 species
AAAAGCUUUUAAGGGCAGAUGGUGGAUGCCUUGGGUGAUAGAGGCGAUGAAGGACGUACUAAGCUGCGAUAAGCUAUGGGGAGCUGCUAAGAAGCUUUGAUCCAUAGAUUUCCGAAUGGGGCAACCCAAUACAUAGAGAUAUGUAUUACCUUUAAUGGAGCGAACCUAGCGAAGUGAAACAUCUCAGUAGCUAGAGGAAAAGAAAUCGUAAUGAGAUUCUCCUAGUAGCGGCGAGCGAACGGGGAAGAGGGCAAACCAGUAGCUUGCUACUGGGGUUGAGGACUGCAAUAUCCACUUGAAUAAUGUAGCAGAAGUGUUUGGAAAAACAUAUCAUAGAGGGUGAUAGUCCCGUAUGCGAAAUAUUAUUCAUAGGUAGCAGGAUCCAGAGUAGGCCAGGACACGUGAAAUCCGGGCUGAAGCCGGGGAGACCACUCUCCAACCCUAAAUACUACUAUCACACCGAUAGCGAACAAGUACCGUGAGGGAAAGGUGAAAAGAACCGCAGUGAGCGGAGUGAAAUAGAACCUGAAACCAUCUGCCUACAAUCAUUCAGAGCCCUAUUGUAGGCUCAUUUGAGAGAUUAGAAUCCGCUUGUCUUUUGGACGCUUUUAAGGGAGUUUGGUUUUUGUUUGUGCGACAGACUUUAGUCUAGUCUCCGCACAAAAACCUGCACAACCCUUAAAAUCGUCUCAAAAUACUUUGCGGUUUGUAGUUUAGAAUCUAAGCAGAUAUAAAUUGCAGAAAAUUCUAAGAUUUUGAGAUGAUUUUGGUGGUUGCGUAGAAAAAUUUGCGGAGACUAGACUAAAGUCUGUCACACAAAGAUUUUUCAAGCUCCGCCAAAAGCACCCAAAAGCUGAAUUUAGCAAAAUCUUUCAAGUGAGCCUACAAGGGUGAUGGACUGCCUUUUGCAUAAUGAUCCUGCGAGUUGUGGUAUCUGGCAAGGUUAAGCACACGCGAAGCCGUAGCGAAAGCGAGUCUGAAAGGGCGUUUAGUCAGAUGCUGCAGACCCGAAGCCAAGUGAUCUAUCCAUGGCCAAGUUGAAGCGAGUGUAAUAGCUCGUGGAGGACUGAACUCGUACCCAUUGAAACGGGUUGGGAUGAGCUGUGGAUAGGGGUGAAAGGCCAAACAAACUUGGUGAUAGCUGGUUCUCUUCGAAAUAUAUUUAGGUAUAGCCUCAAGUGAUAGUAAUAGGGGGUAGAGCUCUGAUUGGGCUAGGGCUGCUCACCGCGGUACCAACCCCUGUCAAACUGCAAAUACCUAUUACCGUAUCUUGGGAGUCAGGCGGUGGGUGAUAAAAUCAAUCGUCAAAAGGGGAACAACCCAGACUACCAACUAAGGUCCCAAAGUUCUAUUCUAAGUGGAAAAUGAUGUGAAGUUACUCAGACAACCAGGAGGUUGGCUUAGAAGCAGCCAUCCUUUAAAGAAAGCGUAACAGCUCACUGGUCUAGUGAUUUUGCGCAGAAAAUAUAACGGGGCUAAGAUAGACACCGAAGUUGUAGAUUCUAUGCUGGUGCAUAGAGUGGUAGAAGAGCGUUCGUAUCAGCGUUGAAGGCAUACCGGUAAGGAGUGCUGGAGCGAUGCGAAGUGAGCAUGCAGGAAUGAGUAGCGAUAAAAGUGGUGAGAAUCCACUUCGCCGAAAGUCUAAGGUUUCCUACGCGAUGCUCGUCAUCGUAGGGUUAGUCGGGUCCUAAGACAAGUCAGAAAUGGGUAGUCGAUGGAAAAUGGGUUAAUAUUCCCAUACCAACAUUAGUGUGCGAUGGGGGGACGCAUAGGGCUAAGUAGCGUUAGCUGAUGGAAGUGCUAAUUUAAAAGCGUAGAUUGAGAGAUAGGUAAAUCCGCUCUUGUAUUCGAAACUUGAAUAGCUUGUUGCGAUCUUCGGAUCAAGAUGAGUGCUACUGACGCCGUCGUGCCAAGAAAAGCCUCUAAGUUUAGCUAAUGUUGCCCGUACCGCAAACCGACACAGGUAGAUGAGAUGAGUAUUCUAAGGCGCGUGAAAGAACUCUGGUUAAGGAACUCUGCAAACUAGCACCGUAAGUUCGCGAUAAGGUGUGCCACAGCAAUGUGGUCUCAGCAAAGAGUCCCUCCCGACUGUUUACCAAAAACACAGCACUUUGCAAACUCGUAAGAGGAAGUAUAAGGUGUGACGCCUGCCCGGUGCUCGAAGGUUAAGAGGAUUCGUUAGCAGUAAUGCGAAGCGUUGAAUUGAAGCCCGAGUAAACGGCGGCCGUAACUAUAACGGUCCUAAGGUAGCGAAAUUCCUUGUCGGUUAAAUACCGACCUGCAUGAAUGGCGUAACGAGAUGGGAGCUGUCUCAACCAGAAAUUCAGUGAAAUUGUAGUGGAGGUGAAAAUUCCUCCUACCCGCGGCAAGACGGAGAGACCCCGUGGACCUUUACUACAGCUUGGCACUGCCGAUGGGAGCAUUAUGCGCAGGAUAGGUGGGAGGCUUUGAAGUCUUCACUCUGGUGGAGAUGGAGCCAUCCUUGAGAUACCACCCUUAAUGUUUCUGUCUGCUAACUGGCUAGAGUUAUCCUCUAGCAGGACAAUGCCUGGUGGGUAGUUUGACUGGGGCGGUCGCCUCCUAAAAAGUAACGGAGGCUUGCAAAGGUUGGCUCAUUGCGGUUGGAAAUCGCAAGUAGAGUGUAAUGGCAUAAGCCAGCCUGACUGUAAGACAAACAAGUCGAGCAGAGACGAAAGUCGGUCAUAGUGAUCCGGUGAUUCUGUGUGGAAGGGUCAUCGCUCAAAGGAUAAAAGGUACCCCGGGGAUAACAGGCUGAUCUCCCCCAAGAGCUCACAUCGACGGGGAGGUUUGGCACCUCGAUGUCGGCUCAUCGCAUCCUGGGGCUGGAGCAGGUCCCAAGGGUAUGGCUGUUCGCCAUUUAAAGCGGUACGCGAGCUGGGUUCAGAACGUCGUGAGACAGUUCGGUCCCUAUCUGCCGUGGGCGUAGGAAAGUUGAGGAGAGCUGUCCCUAGUACGAGAGGACCGGGAUGGACACGCCACUGGUGUAGCAGUUGUUCUGCCAAGAGCAUCGCUGCGUAGCUACGCGUGGAUGUGAUAACCGCUGAAAGCAUCUAAGCGGGAAGCCAACUCCAAGAUUAACUUUCCCUGAAGGUCGCAGCAAGACUAGCUGCUUGAUAGGGUAGGUGUGUAAGCAUAGUAAUGUGUUUAGCUGACUACUACUAAUAGACCGUUUGGCUUUUUAUU